CAGCCGUAAACAAUGUGCGUUAGGUGUGUCGGUAACCACGAGUCACCGAGGUGCCGAAGGGAAACCGUGAAACGUGCCGCCUGGGAAGUACGGUCGCAAGGCUGAAACUUAAAGGAAUUGGCGGGGGAGCACAACAACGGGUGGAGCUUGCGGUUUAAUUUGGAUUCAACGCCGGAAAUCUUACCGGGACCGACAGCAACAUGAAGGCCAAGCUGAAGACUUUGCCGGAUUAGCUGAGAGGAGGUGCAUGGCGUAGUCGUGU
rnacentral:rRNA from 1 species